rnacentral:rRNA from 1 species
GAUGAACGCUGGCGGCGUGCCUAAUACAUGCAAGUCGAGCGAACAGACGAGGAGCUUGCUCCUCGGACGUUAGCGGCGGACGGGUGAGUAACACGUGGAUAACCUACCUAUAAGACUGGGAUAACUUCGGGAAACCAGAGCUAAUACCGGAGAAUAUAUUGAACCGCAUGGUUCAAUAGUGAAAGACGGUUUUGCUGUCACUUAUAGAUGGAUCCGCGCCGCAUUAGCUAGUUGGUAAGGUAACGGCUUACCAAGGCAACGAUGCGUAGCCGACCUGAGAGGGUGAUCGGCCACACUGGAACGGAGACACGGUCCAGACUCCUACGGGAGGCAGCAGUCGGGAAUCUUCCGCAAUGGGCGAAAGCCUGACGGAGCAACGCCGCGUGAGUGAUGAAGGUCUUCGGAUCGUAAAACUCUGUUAUUAGGGAAGAACAAAUGUGUAAGUAACUAUGCACGUCUUGACGGUACCUAAUCAGAAAGCAACGGCUAACUACGUG